UAUAUUACUGGCACAACUUCUCUUUCAGAUCCUUCAAAUUGGUAGCACUUAUUGGAUGGCAUGGGCAACUCCUGUGUCAAAGGAUGUGAAACCUGUUGUUAGUGGAUCUAGACUGUUAAUCGUCUAUGUAUCUCUGGUUAUUGGAAGUUCUUUUUGCAUGCUCGCUCAUGCCAUGCUUCUUGUAACAGCAGGGUACAAAACUGCAACUCUACUAUUCAACAAAUUGCAUCAGUGCAUUUUUCGUGCUCCCAUGUCCUUUUUUGACGCAACCCCUAGCGGACGAAUCAUGAACAGAGUAUGCAAUUUCAAUAUGUUUUAGGUUCUGUAUAUAAGUGAUUAGAAUUAAUUAGGGGAGAGUACCAUGUUCAAUACUUUUACUUCAUUGAUCUAUUUCCUCUACUGUAGGCAUCUAAAGAUCAAAGUGCAUUAGAUAUGGAAAUUCCACAUACAGUUGGGGGCCUUGCCUUCGAAGCAAUCAUGCUUCUGGGAAUCAUAGCAGUGAUGUCUCAAGUGGCAUGGCAAGUUUUUAUAGUUUCCAUCCCCGUAAUUGCUGCCUGUAUCUGGUAUCAGGUACUCCUUGUUUCUUUAAACACUCAUUUACUUUUCCGAGCUCUACUUCAGUGCCCAAAAUCUAAUAAUAUCAUUAGAUCUCCUGAUGUUUCUUCAUUUGUCUCUUAAUUGUGUUUCUUUUUCCCAAUUUUUCUGAAUCUUGCAUGAAAAUUUGAAAUUGUCGAAGGCAUUCAAUGAGAUGUAGCCGCUGUUUCAUCAUGACAAGUAAUAUUUCUAAUUAGCUAUUUGACGUGCACCCCGCCAUGGGCCAAUUACUUUUUUUUCUAAAAAUGUUUUUGUAUAUAUUGAUUUUUUCAAUGUAUUUUUAUACAUAAAACAAAAUUUAUGUAAAUCAAAAAGCUUAUGUAUAUAUAUGUAAUUAAAUAAAUAGAUAAUUACAUGUGUUAAUAAAUGAUAAAAAAAAUCAUUAAUAAUAACUCAAAAUAAAAUUAAAAAAAUCAAGAAACAUGUAUAAAUUAAGAUAUUUAUCUAAUUGUGAUUGCUGAAUUUGUUUAUUAAAUUUAAUUUUCUAUUCAGUCAAAAGAUAAUAGAAACAAAUACAUAUUAAAUUAAUUAAAUAAAAAAAAGAAAAAAAAGUAUAAUUGCACAUUAAAAUUAUUAUCAAAUGAUAAAUAUUUGUUUAUUUUUAAAAAUAAAUUUAAUCUAUAUAAAAAAUAAAAAAAUUAGAUAUGGAUGAUAAUAAUAUUUUCAAAAACUAAAUAUAGACAACAUUAUUAAAGCAAAGUUUUUGUUCUAAAAAGGUUAAAUAAGAAAAAUAUAUCAGAAAUGAGGGAUAUUAUUUGAAAUAUAAAUUUAAAAAUUAUUUAAGAAAAAAGACAUUAAAAAAGAUAUCAUUUUAAAAAAUCAAUAUUACAAAAAAAUAGCUUGGAUGUUGUGACUUAACUCGUGAAACCUAUAUUCCAGGUUAUGAACUCAACAAGGUUCAAUAAUUUUUGUUCUUAAAUUUAUAUUUAACUUUAAAAAAAAGAGCAAAAAAAUAGUUCAGGCUCUCGUGUUCAUGGCCAAGCGCGCCCGAGCCAGUGCAGGGAAGAACCUAGGCAUGUGUGCAGGCCUUUAAGCCUAGACCCACACGCCUGGGUUUUAUAUAUAUAUAUAUUGUGAGCCCAUAUUUUAGCCACCAAGUAAUGGUAAGAUAAUAUUUUUUUUUAUAAAAAAACUCAAUUUUUAAGUCAUUUUAACCCUGAAACACCUCAUCAAUAUUCUUUAAACACGAAACCAUUCACCCAUUAACUCAAAAUAUCCAAAAAAAAUCCAAAAACAUAAAAUCAAGCCAUGUUAGAUUUAUCUUUCUCGACUUAGAUCUAUUUUUUCAGGUAAUAUUGAGAUUCUAAACAAUCACCAUUAAAUCCCUUUUAUCUCAUGGAACUCGUCGAGACAAAAAACAUCCAUUUUGGUGGUCAUAAAUAACUUAAACGAUGACCCUCUUAUCACAAGAAUUUGAUGACCAUUCUUUUUCUAAUCUGGGACUGAAAAGUACUAUAAAUAAACUUUCAUAUCAAAACUGAUUUGUUUUUUAAAGUUUGAAAAUCUAAGUGUAAUUUUAAAAAAAAUUUCUGACAUGCCAUCCAUGUUUGAUGGCCUUUUCAUUUUAGUCCAUUUUCUUUUAGUUCCAUUAUAGCCUAAGAAACUAGAAGUAAUUGGUGUUCAAUUAUAAUUAAAUUGCUCAAAAUAAAAAUUCAAGACCAAAAUAAAUUAUUGACAAAUGCAAAAUAUGUCUACAGUUUUGUAUUUGUGUGAAUAGUGUGACUGAAUACCAAAAUCGAUUUGUUUUUUAAAGUUUGAAAAUGUAAGUGUAUUUUUUAAAAAAUUUCUGGCAUGCCAACCAUUUUUUAUGUCCUUUUCAUUUUAGUCCAUUUUCUUUUAGUUCCAUUAUAGCCUAAAAAACUAGAAGUAAUUGGUGUUCAAUUAUAAUUAAAUUGCUCAAAAUAAAAAUUCAAGACCAAAAUAAAUUAUUAACAAAUGCAAAAUAUGUCUACAGUUUUGUAUUUGUGUGAAUAGUGUGACUGAAUACCAAAAUCGAUUUGUUUUUUAAAGUUUGAAAAUGGAAGUGUAUUUUUGAAAAAAUUUCUGGCAUGCCAACCAUUUUUGAUGUCCUUUUCAUUUUAGUCCAUUUUCUUUUAGUUCCAUUAUAGCCUAAGAAACUAGAAGUAAUUGGUGUUCAAUUAUGAUUAAAUUGCUCAAAAUAAAACUUUCAAGACCAAAAUAAAUUAUUGAAAAAUGCAAAGUAUCUCUACAGUUUUGUAUUUGUGUGAAUAGUGCUACUGAAUAGUGAAAGAACCAUGCGUUUUAGAGUUUCUUAUAUUAUAUAAUGAUUUAGCAUUUAGAAAGAGUUAAGAGUUUCUUAUUAUAAUGAUUUAGCAUUUAGAAACAGAGGCGUUCAAACACAUUUCUUGAUGCAUGCAGCAAUACUACAUUCCCUCAGCAAGAGAGCUUUCACGGUUGAUUGGAGUAUGCAACGCUCCAGUUAUCCAAAAUUUUGCAGAAACAAUUUCAGGAGCAACAACGAUCAGGAGCUUUGAUCAAGAAUCAAGAUUCGAAGAAAUAAAUAUGAAACUAACAGAUGCAUAUUCUCGGCCCAAAUUUCAUAAUUCUGCUGCAAUGCAAUGGCUUUGCUUCCGAAUGGAUAUGUUCAGUUCUAUUACGUUUGCUUUCUGUCUGUUUCUUUUAGUCUCUUUUCCAGAAAGAACUAAUCCAGGUUGGCAGUUCUUGUCUUGCACCUCUUCUCUAUUUCCCUUCCUAUUGUCAACCAAUGAGUGAACCUGAAAUACACGUUUUUUUUUCUUUUCCAUAGCCAUUGCAGGCUUAGCUGUUACGUAUGCGCUUGGCCUACACACGGCACAAUCUGUGUUGAUAUGGUGUUUCUGCAAUUGCGAGAACAAACUCAUAUCAGUAGAGAGAAUUCUUCAGUACAUCUCUAUUCCUUCCGAGCCUCCUCUUGUAAUUGAAGCGAACAAGCCUGACCAUUCUUGGCCAUCACAUGGUGAAGUUGACAUCGAUAAUCUGCAGGUAAUUUUGUUCUGUUUAUUGCUCCAACUGGCAUGCAUUAUUUUUAUGUUACUAAUGGAUGGAUACGAUGCAGGUCCGAUAUGCCCCACACAUGCCACUUGUGCUGCGUGGUCUCUCAUGCACUUUCCCAGGAGGGAAGAAAACUGGUAUUGUUGGGAGAACAGGCAGCGGUAAAUCUACUCUCAUACAGGCUCUUUUCUGAACAGAUCUGGGAGGUGUGUUGUCUGUAUUAUGUUAGCUCAGUGAGGGGUGUGUUGAUGCUGUUAUACACGUGCCUGCGUGUUUCUUCUUAGAAUCGAUGUUCAGUAUUUCAAGGAUUGGUGAUUGAAACAUAGCACAAAUGCUAACUUAAAUUUGUUAUGAUCCCAGGUUCUGGACAAGUGCCAACUUGGAGAUGAAGUUAGGAAAAAGGAAAGGAAGCUAGAUUCCACAGGUUUGUCUUUCUCACCAAUCACCGCUACCCUAUUUUUGUGCACAUCUUUUUAAAUGGUCAUCCUGGAUGGUGGUGCAGUUAUCGAGAAUGGGGAGAACUGGAGUAUGGGCCAGAGGCAGCUAGUCUGUCUCGGGCGUGUGCUCCUCAAGAAAAGUAAGGUCUUGGUCCUUGAUGAAGCUACUGCCUCAGUUGACACAGCCACUGAUAAUCUUAUUCAGCAAACGCUCAGGCAGCACUUCUCUGACUGUACAGUGAUAACCAUUGCACAUAGAAUAACCUCUGUUCUUGACAGUGACAUGGUUUUGCUUCUAAGUCAUGGUGAGUAUGGAAACUCGAUGUAGCAUUGCCUGUAAAUGAUAUGCAUCCUCGAUUUUCUGAAGUAUUUGCAAUCAUGUCUCAGGUCUCAUUGAGGAGUAUGAUUCUCCAACAAGGUUGUUAGAAAACAAGUCAUCAUCAUUCUCACAACUUGUAGCAGAGUACACAGUGAGGUCAAAUACCAGUUUCGAGAAAUCAACUGGAUUAAAUUUAUAGGUAUGUUGAUGAUUAUAUGUAAUUGUAUCCUGCAAAAUUAUAUGUAAACUAUUAUAUCAGCAGAGGGUACAAUAAGCUGAAAUGCUUACUGUCUUUAAGUCAAUUGCAUUAAGGUUUGGUUGAUGUGAAAGAAUGUCUUAUGUUGAUGAUUGCGAGAUUGUCCAAUGAAUUGAGCAAAUAAGUAAAAACCAUGAAGCUAGCUUAUCAAAGAAUGUCUUAUGAUGUUAGCUUAUUCUCAUACCCAAUUCUUUAUUUCAGGUGAAAUCUUUUUAUGAGCUCUUCUCCUUCCUCCCUCUUAUUUCUUAUUGUUUUUCAUUGUUCUUGUUUUAUAUACAUUGAUCGUUGCUGGACUAGUUAAGAAUCCAAUUCAAAUGAUGUAUCUAGUCCUCAAUAACAAAGGGCAGUAGAUGUUUCUCGAACAAAUACUGGGAUGGAAUGUGGUUUGAAAAUCCCGGAUAAUUUUAAAUAAUUUAGCCUACCUGAAAAUGAAACUUCAUAAUGAUAUAAAUGAGAGAGGAGCAGAAAAGGCUCUGAAAUUAUCUCAGUAUUUUUUCUUUUUUGUUCCAUUGCUUUAAGAUGGUGUGGAAGUCGAUGGUUGCUCCACUGUUUGUUAUACCUUCUACAACCUUAAAUACAGAAGCAUUAUGCACAUGAAGCGUGAUAUGCAGCGUUGGCUUCCGGAGAACCCUUCUUUAGUCUGUUCUUCUCACGGCUAGUUUGCCUUCGCUGACAGAGAUCAUGUUUGUCUCCCUUUCCUCCGAUGCUACCAUGCUAAAUAUUUUCAUGCUUGGGGCAUUCUUGAAAGCCUUCCGAUGAUACAGAAGAUGCCUUUUCCUCAUCCCCACACGUGACAAGGCAAUCUUCUUCUUCGUAUUAUGCUACAACCAUCAUUGAUUCAGCUGGGGAAGUUUCUUUUCAGAAAUUUUGGUCGACCCAGUGAUCCCGAGCCUGGUCUGGGUUAGGUUUUACUUCAAACUGUUGUCCUUUUUUUUUUUUUUAAUCAAAACAAAGUUGUUUAAUAGGUUUUAAAAAAUCACAGUUUGGAUUGACCACCGACCUGUGACCCGGGCUUUCAACCCCUGGUUGGGUGAACACGUAAAAUUUUAUGCUUCUAUUUAGAUAAAUGAAACCAUAUUUCUGCCUCCAAAAUGCCGGUCAAGGUGCGCGCAAGCUGGCCCGGACACCCACGAUAAUAAUAAAAAAAAAAGUUACUUUGUGGAGUUAUCGUGUGAUCUUUUGCUGGAGUUUAUAACGUUGUUGCUCAAGAUGGCAUGUUUCUACAGCCGGAUGGAGAUCGGUUGGAUUCUUGGAUAUUUGCUAGGAUUGUAGAGACUAAUAUAUUAUGUAUUUUUUUUUUUGAAAGAAACAAUUGUUCUCAUAAAUUGAAGUAUAAAGAAUACUUAUAACUAAUAUGUAGGUAUUUUUCAUAAAACAUGUACAUUAAAUUGAUUCACAUGAGAAUUUUAUAUAAAAAGAUCACUUAUGUUUAUGUAAAGAUUCAUAUGAUGAUUGUGUACGUGAUCACUAAGUUAUUUUAUAUAGAGUUUGUUAUGCUUUGAUCUUCUUACAUGCUAUCUUAAUCGAGAUAACAAAAGAGUAGAGAUUGAAUAUAAUAUGAAUUAUAUGAAAAUACUUGAUUCAUCACCUUAGGUAAAUUAGAAAAAAUAUUAAUACAAUUAUUAUAUUUUAGAAAUUAAAAAUUAAAAUAUAAUUAAUACAAAAAUUAUAAUUCUAAACCUAAAAAAAUCAAGGUAAUAUUCAACCAAUGAAAGUUGAAAUUUGAGCAACAAACAUGGCAACCUGUCAAAUGUUUAGGUGAAUAUGCAAUGUUUUUGUCCCUUAACGACUCAUUUUCUUUGUUCCAGUAUCUGAACAAGAAUGAUAUAUACUUUGGUGAUGACAAUGAAUCAAACUGUGAUUGGAAAAAUAAACAAAUCUGGUGAAGGCAAGGAUCUAACUGGUGUAUUCAACUUAGAUGAUCACAACAUUGAAAGGCUCGAUCUUGAUUGAUGAUUGCAAGGGGAAGUUUUCCUCUCCAUCUUCUCGAAUAAACUAUGAUGCUACCACACCUAGUUGAUGCUUCCCUCUUGAUGAAUAAUAGUUAUUAAAUCGGGUGUGAUGCUACAAAUUGACUUAAUAAUCUACAAUUUAAAAUUUAAUUAAGAUUCAUUUAAAAUUAUUUUGGACAUUGACUAGGCCAAAUCCAAUGAAAAAAUAUCGGAUCAAUUCCAUGAAUUUCUUUUGAAACUUUGUUUUAAGAAAUUUGUUUUCUUAAUUUUUAUGAUUGAAAAGAAGAUUUUAAGGCAAGGGAUGAUUGGGUAAUAAAUGUUCAGUUUAUAGGGACUCAAUAGAGAAAUAGUUUUGUUUGGGUAUCCAAUUGACAAAUAUGUGAUAAUCGAGGGAUAGAUAUGUUUUUGAUCAACUUUUCACGGCCGCUAAAUCUAAUUGUAACUGACCCCUGUUUUAGCGGGAACUUUUUUAUUUAUUUCCCUCCGACUGUGGAUUUGUAAUCCCUGCAAAGGCUCACAGAUCAUGGAAUUUUUUUUUUGAGGCAACAGAGCAAGGUGUCGCAGCCAUUGUUUCAAGCUCAUCUUCCAUAAUGCAUGCUCCAGGUUCAAAUAUUGAUUUUCUUCUUCAAUCCAAUUUCAUUAGUGGGUUCUGUGGAUCGUUGCACUUGGUUUUGUUACUUGCUUUAUGUGUCUCGUUUUUGUGUAAGAAACUCAGCAGGUGGGGUGAUGGAGAGGGUUCUUCAGAGAUGUUAAUGAUGAAGAGGAGGUUUUUGUGGUAUAAACAGACCUUGGUCUGUUGUUUGGGUGUCACGGUUUUUAAUUUCAUCUUGUGUUUGUUGAGCUACUUUUAUUUGUAUGGAAAUGUUUUGUCUGAUGGUGAAAUAAUGACCCUUUUGGAUUUAGGGAUUAGAACACUCUCUUGGGGUGCACUUGUUGUUUAUUUGCAUACCCAAUUCUUUAACUCAGGUGAAAACAUGUUCCCUUUGUUAUUGAGAGUUUGGUGGGGUUCCUAUUUGGCUAUUUCUUGUUAUUGCUUUCUUGUAGAUGUUUUCAUUCAUCACAAACACGGGUCUUUGGAGAUAGAGUGGUAUUUGGUGUCUGAUGCGGUCUCUGUGCUUACUGGAUUGUUUCUUUGUUAUGUUGGGUUUUUGAGAAGCGAUAUUCAAGAUGUACUUGGAGAACCCCUUUUGAAUGGUGAUUCUAGUUCGAUUAAUAAUUUGGAGACAAGUAAUUCUAGGGGGGGAGAUACGGUGACUCCAUUUGGAAAUGCUGGUCUUUUCAGUAUUCUCACCUUCUCUUGGAUGAAUUCUUUAAUUGCUGCUGGCAAUAGGAAAAUUUUAGACCUUGAAGAUGUUCCUCAACUUCACGGUGUUGACAGUGUGGUUGGAGCUUUUCCAGUUUUUAAAAAUAAGCUUGAGUCAGAUUGUGGUAGAGCUACCAGGUUCAAGCUCGCGAAAGCACUGUUCCUGUUAGUCUGGAAAGAAAUUUUAAAGACAGCUUUAUUGGCGUUGACACACACGUUAUGUUCUUAUGCUGGUCCCUACCUUAUCGACGCUUUUGUUCAAUGCCUUGAAGGGCGAGGAGAAUUCAAGAAUCAAGGUUAUAUUUUGGCUUCCACCUUUGUGGCUGCAAAGCUUGCUGAGUGCCUCGCACACAGGCAUUUAUCUUUUAGGUUGCAACAAAUUGGAACAAGGCUCCGUGCAGCAACAGCCACGAUGAUUUACAACAAGAGCUUGACCAUUUCCUGUCAGUCAAAGCAGGGGCAUUCAAGUGGAGAAAUGAUCAAUAUUAUGACAAUUGAUGCUGAUAGACUUGGCAUCUUUAGUUGGUACAUACACGAUCCAUGGUUGGUCAUCUUGCAAGUUUGUUUGGCCUUGCUGAUACUGUACAGAAAUUUGGGACUCGGGUCAGUUGCUGGCUUUGUUGCGACAGUAAUUGUCAUGUCGUUAAACUAUCCUUUCGGAAGAUUAGAGGAGAAGUUUCAAGACAAGUUAAUGGAAUCAAAAGAUAAACGAAUGAAGGCAACCGUGGAGAUUUUGAGAAAUAUGAGAAUUCUCAAGCUUCAGGGAUGGGAAAUGAAGUUUUUGUCUAAGAUUCUUGAACUCAGGGAAGUAGAGACACGGUGGCUGAAGAAAUACUUCUAUAAUUCAGUAGUGAUCACUGUUGUCUCUUGGGCUACUCCCACUGUUGUGGCUGUGGCCACCUUCGGUACUUGCAUGCUAAUGGGAAUCCCGCUUGAAUCAGGGAAGGUCUUAUCUGCACUCGCAACAUUUGGGAUUCUUCAAUCCCCAAUCUAUAACCUUCCCGAUACAGUUUCUAUGCUAAUUCAGACAAAGGUUUCUCUCGACAGAAUUGCAUCUUUUCUUUGUCUUGAUGACUUGCAGCCUGAUGCUAUAGAGAAGCUUCCAGGAGGCAGUUCUGAUACAGCAAUUGAGAUUGUUGAUGGAAAUUUCUCUUGGGAUUUGUCUUCACCCAGCGCAACAUUGAAAGAUAUAAACUUCAAAGUGCUGAAUGGUAUGAAGGUAGCUGUUUGUGGUACUGUUGGUUCAGGCAAGUCGAGCUUGCUUUCCUCCAUUUUGGGAGAGUUACCCAAGAUCUCAGGGACACUCAAGUUGUGUGGGACAAAGGCGUAUGUUGCUCAGUCACCUUGGAUACAGAGUGGUACGAUAGAAGAGAACAUAUUGUUUGGUAAGGAGAUGGACAAAGAAAGGUACGAUAAGGUACUUGAAGCAUGUUCCCUGAAGAAGGACCUGGAAAUCCUCUCAUUCGGGGAUCAAACAGUUAUUGGUGAGAGGGGUAUCAACUUGAGUGGUGGACAGAAGCAAAGAAUACAGAUAGCACGUGCUCUCUACCAGGAUGCCCAAAUCUAUCUAUUUGAUGACCCUUUCAGUGCCGUGGAUGCUCAUACUGGAUCUCAUUUGUUUAAAGUAAACUAUCCCAUCUUCCUUGAAACCAUUGCUUGCAGUGGACGCUAACUUUUGCUUUCGAUUUCUGUAGAAAAAAUUACUAGUCCAGAUAAAAGCAUCACCCUUUGUUUUAAUUUUCCUUUUAGUUGCUUCCUCUUUUAUUCUUCUUUUCGUGCCUAAUUAAAAAAAAAUAAAAAUUGGCAUUUCUCUUACAAUAUACUUGUUCGAUUUUGCAUGACAGGAAGUUUUGCUUGGUCUUUUAAGUUCAAAAACUGUUAUUUAUGUUACUCAUCAGGUUGAGUUCUUAUCCGCUGCUGAUCUAAUCUUGGUGAGUAAUAUGCAUUAUGUUUCUUCUUUGCUUGUGGGAUUAUCAUGUCUCCUAUUGUUUCAUUUGUUUCAACUGUACCUUCUGGUUAGGUCAUGAAAGAUGGAAGGAUCGCGCAGGCUGGGAAGUAUGACGAAAUUCUCAAUUCAGGAUCUGAUUUUAAGGUACUUGUAGGUGCACAUAAGGCAGCUUUAUCAGUUCUGGAUUCCAGACAGGCAGGAGCAGUUUCCGAAAAUGAAAGUGUCAGAGACAACAAUGGAGGGGAGAACAGUACUGAUAGGAUUGUACAUGACGAAGGAAAUAAAGAUUCACAAAUUGGUAAAGCAGAUGACGUAGCCGAGCCACAAGCACAACUCAUUCAAGAAGAAGAGAGAGAGAAAGGCAGUGUUGGGUUUCAAAUCUAUUGGAAAUAUAUCACAACAGCAUACGGAGGAGCUCUGGUGCCCUUUAUAUUACUGGCACAACUUCUCUUUCAGAUCCUUCAAAUUGGUAGCACUUAUUGGAUGGCAUGGGCAACUCCUGCGACAAAGGAUGUGAAACCUGGUGUUAGUGGAUCUAGACUGUUAAUCGUCUAUGUAUCUCUGGUUAUUGGAAGUUCUUUUUGCAUCCUGGCUCGAGCCAUGCUUCUUGUAACAGCAGGGUACAAAACUGCAACUCUACUAUUCAACAAAUUGCAUCAGUGCAUUUUU
rnacentral:lncRNA from 1 species